UUCUUACAGAUCGAAGGUGUGUGAGACUUACAGGUGAGAGAAGGGGGUGGCUGUGUAACCACUGGGGCGUGUCCAUAGGAUGUCAUAGUGACUCCAACAUUAUCAUCAUAAUUACCUGCACUGGAGUGUCCUACAUCAACAUGACCGCUGAUGGCAAGCAUUCAUUCUGACUUUCAUCAUUAACAGACAGUGACAGAAAGCUCGUGGGGAAGGCUUACAAUUCUAAUGCCCAGUGGCAGAUGAUGUCUUGCCUUCCCUGUUGCCAAAGGACACUGAUAAUGGAGUAGCACCCAGGCAGCAGCUGAGUACAUCUGUGGUUGUCUGUGGAGAAUUCCGUGGGAUACCAUGAUAGGACCUUUGAUCCAUGCCGGGAAGGCCCAAAGGUCAGUGGUGGAAGCCAGAAAGUCCAUGCCAGUGGGGUGAUGGAGCUGUGCUGGUAGGUUGAUGGUUCUAUGCUGGAGCUACA